GGAGAUAUAGCUCAGUGGUAAACUACCUGCCUAGCAUGCACAAGGCCCUUGGUUCAAUUCCUAGUAACUCCC
rnacentral:tRNA from 1 species